rnacentral:rRNA from 1 species
GACGAACGCUGGCGGCGUGCCUAAUACAUGCAAGUCGAACGAGUGGCGGACGGGUGAGUAACACGUGGGAACCUACCCAUCAGAGGGGGAUAACACUUGGCAACAGGUGCUAAUACCGCAUACUGAUGGAUGGACCCGCGGGGCAUUUGCUAGUUGGUGGGGUAAAGGCUCACCUAGGCGACGAUCCUUAGCUGGUCUGAGAGGAUGACCAGCCACACUGGGACUGAGACACGGCCCAGACUCCUACGGGAGGCAGCAGUGGGGAAUAUUGCACAAUGGGCGCAAGCCUGAUGCAGCCAUGCCGCGUGUAUGAAGAAGGCCUUAGGGUUGUAAAGUACUUUCAGCGGGGAGGCGUUACCCGCAGAAGAAGCACCGGCUAACUCCGUGCCAGCAGCCGCGGUAAUUC